UGGGGAAUAUUGGACAAUGGGCGAAAGCCUGAUCCAGCCAUGCCGCGUGUGUGAAGAAGGCCUUUUGGUUGUAAAGCACUUUAAGCGAGGAGGAGGCUACUUAGAUUAAUACUCUAGGAUAGUGGACGUUACUCGCAGAAUAAGCACCGGCUAACUCUGUGCCAGCAGCCGCGGUAAUACAGAGGGUGCGAGCGUUAAUCGGAUUUACUGGGCGUAAAGCGUGCGUAGGCGGCUUUUUAAGUCGGAUGUGAAAUCCCUGAGCUUAACUUAGGAAUUGCAUUCGAUACUAGGAAGCUAGAGUAUGGGAGAGGAUGGUAGAAUUCCAGGUGUAGCGGUGAAAUGCGUAGAGAUCUGGAGGAAUACCGAUGGCGAAGGCAGCCAUCUGGCCUAAUACUGACGCUGAGGUACGAAAGCAUGGGGAGCAAACAGG
rnacentral:rRNA from 1 species